GACGAACGCUGGCGGCGUGCUUAACACAUGCAAGUCGAAGAUAGUGGCGAACGGGUGAGUAAUACGUGGGUAACCUGCCCUCCUUUUUGGGAUAAGCCUUGGAAACGGGGUCUACUACCGAAUAAAGGGGGAUGGGCUCGCGGCCUAUCAGCUUGUUGGUGGGGUGAUGGCCUACCAAGGCGGUGACGGGUAGCCGGGCUGAGAGGGUAACCGGCCACAUAGGGACUGCGCUACGGCCGAGAGUCCGACGGGGGGCAGCAGUGGGCGAUAUUGCACCAUGGGCGAUGGCGUGAUGCAGCGACGCCGCAUGGGGGCUGAAGGCUUUCGAGUGGUAAACCUGUGUCGCGAUGGAACGGGUAGGUGGAGAAGAAGCGCCGGCUAACUACGUGCCAGCAGCCGCGGUAAUUC
rnacentral:rRNA from 1 species